AAGCCCGCCCGGCGAGCCCCUCCGUGCCCCGCUCCGCGCCCCGCACCGCCCCGCCGGGGCACGGGGGUGACGGCGAGCCCGCCGCACCCGCCUCACUCCGCCUCACCCGCCUCGCCUCACCUGGGGCUGCCCUCCUCGGGUGUCGGAGGGGGCGGCGGGGUGGGAAGCGGAAAGCAGGCGCUAAAGCGAGGUAAAACUCCACGGAAUAAAGUAAAGCAGAGGGGCGGCCGCCGGUCCCUGGAAAGGGGUCGGGGAGCGCAGUUCGGGUUCACGCCCCGCGGCGCGGGGGAGCCCCGGCCCCGCGGUCGUGCUGCGGGCACGGGGGCGGCGGCACCUGCGCUCGCCGAGCCCCGCGCUGAGCUGAGCCCCGUCCGCCCGCGGAGCCGAGCCGAGCCGAGCCGAGCAGAGUUAAGCCGAGCCCGGCCGGGCGUGCUCGGGGCGCUCCGGGACCGGCCGCUCGCACAGCCUCGACCCCGGCGGGACGCCGGGGCUCCGCCGCUCCGCCCGCUGUCUCCUCAUCCCCGCGGCUCCGCUCAAGGCACCAUCGCGGCCGCUCCGCUGCGCGGCAUCCCCGUAUUCCCCGCUCGGCAUCUCUGCGGCGGGGCUCGCCCCGACCCCUUUAACUUCAUUUUGUGGGUCUGGGAGUUUUAUGACCACACGUACCCUGACACCGUAACACAAGCUCCGUGCUGCACCGCGAGCAGGUAACAGAUCUAAGCGCGGGGACGGGGGUUUAUCUCCCGCUGAAUGGAACUACCGGGACUCCGAGUCAGUCUCCCGGUACAAAUGGCCAAAAGACACUCCAACAAGAGAAGGGACGGAGAGAUAAAAUAGGAAACAUGUUAAAAUAGACAGAUAAACGCCCGAGAGGAUCGUUCCUCCUCUGCGAACGCACGCUUGUAUGUGCGCUCACAUGUGAGCCGGUCACCAAGCACGGCCGCGGGGACACAGACCUGGGCACAACUCUGCGAGGGAUUAAUUGCUCCUCACCUCCUCACAUACACUUUUUCAUGUUGCCACAUGCCCACCCACUCCUGCCGCAGAAAUAAUAGAUGUGGCUAAAGCCGCAGGUGUGGAGGUGAUUGGAAAGUUGUAAAAAGCACCUCGACUUGACAGUGUCCUGCCUGGAAACCUGGUGUGUUCAGACCCCACGGACGAAGAUGUUUUGCGGCUCAAUUUCAAAGACAAGGCUGCAGCGUUCCCAUUGAUCCUCACGGAGCAAAAAAAUAACCUUUACCCGAAACAGGGACCAUGAGGGACUAGGAAGACAGAAGGGGGAAAGGAAUCUUUCCCUGUUAAAAUGUGGGGAACUGUCUUAUGAUUUCCAAAUAACCCAGAGCCGAGGAGGUCACCUUUCGGGGAGGGUGGGAGAAGCUGGGGGUUCAAAAUACAGAAUAGUCACAGAUUGUUGCUGAUGUUGAGUUUCCUGAAGGGGGAAAAAGCCCCCCAACAAAAACCCAAACCACAACCCAACACCAACCUUUCCUGUCUCGAAUCUGACAAAGUAAACAGGAUUAAUUCACCAUAUGAAAAAGCAUUAACGCCGUCCUAACAAAUGCAGAAAUCAUAAGAGAAAGCGGUUUUAACAGGACGCACAAUAUUACUAGUUCGAACGUAUGAUCGUAAAAAUGAAAAGCCAUUGAUAUAAGCUUAAAAGCCGCCGUAUAUGCUGAUUGCUCAAGCAUUAAUGAAGAAUGCCCCAGAUUAACUAUUUGCUCUUCGAGGGAUGCAGCGAUAUAACUACCUAUUAGCACCAUUAGAUGCUUUGCUAUUUAUUUGAAAACACCCCUACGAGUGGGUUGAGACAGAACAGAUGAAUGUAAAAAUGAACUGCAGCUAAUUUCGCUAAAUAAUCCUCGAAACCUGAGCGCCUCGCAAGGAAGGGGGAGAUUCUCCUCUGUCCUUCUCCGAGGCUAAUGACAAUAGAAAUGCUCUGGUUUAAAAGUGAGACUGUGUUGGUUUUCCAAAUAAACAAACGCAUCCCUCCUGCCAUUUUACUGCAGAUGUAAAUUUAUUUUAAUGAGAGGGAGUGGAAGGAUUUAUUUUGCUAAAAUAGAGUUGAGGAUAGAGCCGGUGUAAAUCUUUAGGUUUCAAAAAGAGAGGAGGAAGGAGGGGGAAGCUGCUUUCCUGGCAGAAAGCUGCCUAACAGUCCUCUAAUUCUUUCUAGAUUAAAUCGCAAUAUGAAUACAGCAUCGAACAAAUACCGAGUUUCGCUCUGAACUCAGUGGAAAGCAGUUACGUCUAACAGAAUUCAAUGAAUUCCUCUUCUCCCUCAAUGUAGUAUGUGUGUGUUUUUCUCUUCCACCACACUGAAGUUCCAUGAAUAGGGAAAGUGGCUCCUAUUGUGUGCCUCUGAACUUCCAAGUCAAUGCAAUUUUUAACCACUGGCUUGUGGUACUUUGAAAAUCACCAGGGGCUGUCAGAGUUGGGUCCUCUGAAAAAUUUACAGUGCUAAAUCAGAGCAUAUGCUGUGAGAGAGGAAAAAAAAUUGCUUAAGAUUGGAGCAAGUACAGUAUCUGGCUGCCCCCUAGUGUAAGUCUCUUAUCUGCCUAAAAUUCAACUUUAAAAGAAAAGGAUCUCUUAAAGGGAAACGACUUUUGGCUCACGUAUGCAUACGAGAAUGAAACUUCUGUACAUUUUAAUCUGAUUAAUUCCUAAGGAUUUAAAAUUAAUUGGCUUGGGCACUCCUAGACCGGACUAUAAGAUUUCUGCAUCAGGGUUUCUGCGAGAACUGUACCGAAUAGGAACCGUGCCUCUCUUGCUGUUAUCAGAGCAAAACACUUUUGCUGCUUAAAGUCAGAUCUACGUCUUUUGCAAUAUACUUAAAAAAAAAAAAAAAAAAAGGAUAAAUAAUUGCCUUAAAGCCUCAGCCGAUCUACCAACCGCACCUUCGGAUGUCAGAAGGCAGAAAUAUGUGAACUGCUGAGAGAGGUGGGUACUUUUUGACCUGCCCUAACUGAACGGUGCCUGCAAGAGGUGCAUCAGGAGGGGAAUAUGACAGGAAUGGUACGCAGGAGGUGUUUGGUGGAUGGCGAUUCCGUCUCCACGCUCUGUCAGUGAGCUUUAUUAUUCUGCUUUUAUGUAUUAAGAUCUUGGUUGCUGUUGCCCUGGCAGAUUCUGUCUCUUUAAGUAACUAAAUCUCAUUUUUAAGCUCUUCCUGGGAAAAGGAUGUUACACAUGAGUAGAAAAAUGCAGGCAAGAAAGGCUAAUUGAAUGAAAAGAGAGAAUUAGGUUAAAAAUAGAGUACAAUCUAGUAUCACAUUUUCACUGGUGUAACCUGAAAUGAAGGUGUCUCCAAGUCCCCAGUGAUGCCAGAGUGUUUAGAUGUUGGGCACAGAUGGAGACACCUAUUGAAAUGUGUCUGAAGAAGAUUAAUAGGACUUGUCAGUGUUGGGAAAGCACUGCUUUGCUGUAAAUUUCUACUAGCACAAGAUGAAUUACCGAUGAAUGCUCAGUUAUCAACCCCAUCACUAUCAUUGGACACUAAAUCAAAUUGAGCAGUUAUCUACAAUCAGAAAAUUUCUUUUAAAAAUAGGCAUACACCUUUAGGCUUAAACUCUUUAAUAAGACAAUAUCCUCGAUGGUAUGUGUGUGUUCACGAAGGGAUAUGAUUAAAAGUUUCUGUACAAAAAGCUUCUGUUUGGAAAUGAACUCCAAGUUCAGUGUGAAAUCAGGGCUGUCAAACAAUAGAAGAUAUUCAGAAAAUACUGGUUAUAUAACACAGUGUUCUGCUGGGGGCCUGAUCCAAAAUGGAUUUUCAUGCAUGUCAUUAGAUUUUGGAUCCAUCCCUAUUUAUGAGAGGUUUUUUAAAUCUCUUCUCUCCCCUUAUUUAUGGUGAUGAUAAAAACCCCAUUCUCUCUACCCUAAAGACUGAGAAUCCAAAUCAUACAUUAAUGCAAAAUAGCUAUCAAGACUCAGGAUGUACGUAUAACAAUAAUACCACCCCACAACAUAUUUAGGAAAUUACAGCUUAAUAUAAUGAACUGUGUGAUGAAAGAAUCAGUGAAUAAUAUUUUAACUGAGAAUGUUUCUUCCUCUCCUUUAUAAAAGUGGAAACUGCCACAAGGAAAGGUACACAAGCAUUUACCAGCCCACUGCUGAAGCAUAUUACCUGUGUUUACCAUCUGAUGCUGCUAAUAGCAAUGAUAUUAAAUAAGCAUUUUAUACUUUUAGUUUCUAGGAUUUCUUUCCCUCUCACCCAGGCAGUGCACUACUUUAUCCAAGGAGUUUUAUCAUGGUGUGUUUUCCAAAGUCAAUUUUUCCCUUUUAUUAGAGACAAGGGCAGUCAUUUGUGUUUAGGGAGGGAGACAGGUACAGAGCCUUUAUCUGAUCUGCGUCCCCAGCCACCACUACCUUCUUAAUCGACGUCAGAUUCCCACUCUGGAGGAUCAGGCCCUAUCUGGGUUACUCCUUAGCCAAGGAAUGUAUCCUUCCCUUCAUCUCCAGACAUCUCACCUGUGAUGUAUGCCACUUUCUGUAUGCUACUUUUUGAGAAGGGAAUAAUGUGCUGUUUACCACAAAGCCUUCGUGCGUUUCUCAUCUCCUGCCAAAGCUUGUUAUUUACCGCCUAAAAAAUUUACCAGGGUAAGGGAUAGCAGCAGUUGUUUUCUUCAUUUUUACACCCUAAUUUUCACGCAGCAAAUGCCCCGCAUUAGGACCAGAUUCCACUCAGAUGGAAGUUAUUAACUUUGAGCAGAGUGGGCCGAUUCCAGCCAGCCACAGCCUGUGCCCUUCGAACGCAGUCGCUUUACAGCAUCACCAUGUUUAUUUUUUUCUUUGGAGGAGGGCAUGAUUCUUUAAACAUAUUUGUUUUACACAGAGCGGCAGUUGAAUCCUAACUUCUUUUUUCCCCCCACGAACAUGUAAAGAGAAUAUUAAUAGGGAAUAUUAACAGAGGCGAGUGCGGCAUGAUGCUAGUUAGACUGUAGUAGCUGAGAAAUAUGAACUAGUGAACAUAAUCCAUAAACUCCAUUUGGUUACUAUAAUACUCCAAUCUGUAUUUAUUACAACCCCACUCUGAUGCUUAUACAACUGCAAUUGCUAGAUUUAUACACUCUAAUGGUUUCACAAUAGGAAAAACCUGUGUUCUUUAUCUUUCUUUUCCUGUCCAAAAUAACCCCCUCCACAUAUACUUUAGGCUUCUCUGGACCUUGUCUGGGUUUAAUCACAGGCUCUGGGACAAAAUGUGCAUUAUUAAGAAAUAUAAAUAUUUUCAGAAGCAAUCAAAGGGUUGAAAGAUUGAUUCGGCAUGUAGAUUGGAUUUAAUUCGAAGCAGCUUUGUUCUAAUGAGGACUACUGGGAUACAAAGACGGCAGCCGCUUAUGGCCACCAGUUGGGAACCUCGACUCGCUGCAGCAACCUGUCAAGAAUUCCAAGAAACUGCCAGGUAUUAAAGAGGGAAGUUGCGGGGAGGAUGAUGGUCUAUUGUUUGCAGCCUCCUUCCGAGGCUGGAUUAGGAUUUCUUAAGUCCCUGUUUUACCAAAACGAGUUUCUUGCUGCUCAUGGGGCCAAAUCCCGCAGUCCCUCACUCAGGGGAAACCCCUAUGGGCUUUGUAGGCAGAUUUGCCUAAGGGAAAGGUGGCAAAGCUUGGUUGAGCCUCGACUCCAGCAAAUUUGGGAGCCCUGUAGCAAUUUGUUCCGAUUCCAGACCUGAUUGUUUUCGCCUUGACUUUUUCCUUUAAAUUUUGCUAUCUAUGCUUGUAGAUGUGAUGGGACCUUUUUGCACAGGGAGGUGUUUUUCCCUAUGGAGAAAUACAGCUCUGUGAUGGCUUGGAAACUCUUGUGUCCUUGUUGGGUGACCCAGAAGAACUGCUGGACCCGGCCUGUUUCCUGCCUGCAACAAAACAUCCUUGGGAUGAUGCUGAACCCAAGGGGACCUUUGAUUGCUUUCCCCUCAGACUGAAAAAACACCCAACAGUAAAAUUUCAGUGUGGGCUGUGGGGGGAGGUGUCACGUCACAGGUACUUGGGGAGCACACGACCCUGGGAGCUUUCCUAAACACCGGGCGUACAGUCAGAAUCACAGGAUAUACAGGAUCAAACAUGGACUAGUUUUGCCCUCCCCUUAGCCCCCCCUUGCCUACUUGUGUCCAUAAAAGCAAUAGAAAGAGAGAAAGCUUGAAUUUUCUGAACUGUUUCACCCAUCCACAGCUGGAAUUCCAAAGCGAAAUGAAAAUGCCUUUAAAAUCAACCCUACAUGGGAGCCUGAGAGAACAAGUUUUCCUUUGUUGUAGGGUAUAGUAUUAUUUGCUGUAGGUUUUUGAUAUACAUUCUAAAUUAGGCCUGCAAAGGAAUGCUUCAUCUUUAAUUCAUCACUCUCAGCUGAAAGAGAUUAGCAAUGUCUAGCACGCACCCUUCGUAUGGUGCUGACCUCAUCAAGUAUGGCCUGAAAUUAAUUAGCCUCAUUCAUUCCAAAUGGAAAAGGAUAAUGGAGCUGCAUUUUAGAGAUGACCAUCACAAAUUGUAUGCAGCAUAUUUAAAAUCCCUCCCCCCUCGCUCCCCUCCCCUUAAAAAAAAAAAAAAAACCUAUGUAGAUUAAAAUUCUUUCCAGAACUUGCAAUAUGUCAGAGUUAUCGAGGUAUUAGGAGCAGAAACCACUCCGUUUUUAUUUGUGGAACUGGGAGCCACAUUUUGUAUGUGUGGCUGUAAAAGCAGCAAGCCUGUCUUAAUGGCAGAACACCUGGAAUUAAUUUGAUAUUUCCAGGUGCUCUGGCAAACUGGGACAUCAAGCACUUGAUGUUUAAACAUUCUUCCACUGGCCUGCCUAAAUCAAUAUGAAAGUGGUGUCCCUUUGUCAUUCAUACAUGCAAAGUGCUAGCACAAACUCCAGCUUGGCUUCAGAGUCCUACAUCACUCAUAAUCUAAUUAGAAAUCAGAGCAGAGCUGAAGCAGCAUUCUUUGUGGAUUCUUGGGCGGCAAAUAGGGAUACUUGUCUUUUGUUUCCCUCCUCGAUUGCAUCGUUCACAAGCUUUCACACCACAUCUCUAAAGGUGGUUAGGUGCCUCAAGAUGUUGACAGGCAUGAAGGACAAGAUUAUUUAGGUGCCUAACCCGGGUGAUUUCAAAUGGAAUUAAGCAACUGGAUGUUACUGGGUAUGGGAGGGGGGGGAGCGGGUAUGGGGAAGGGAAAAAAAAAGCUUCCAGUGCAUAUUAAAUGCUCUAAUUUGUUGUCCUAAACUCUAACAACGUGUGUGAUGUUUUUCCAGGGUAAAACUGCCUGCAGGGUAAAUUUCCUGAAGCCUGUUAAUUUUCCCAGAGGUCAGCAGGCACUCAGUUUUGGGCAGUGCAGCCCUCCCUGGCCGGGCACAGGGGUGGCGUGUGCUCCAGUUCCUUCCCAAGAGACAGGAGAAGUAAUGAAGGAUGCGGGAUUUCCCACAGGAAUUUGGAAGAUGCCCUUAUCUAAGACAAUGGUGAGGACUGGGCCAAAAUGCAGAUCCAGCCUUGAUUCAUCCAUCGGAUCCACCCUGUCUUGACCUACAGCUGCUGAUGCAUCGCAGCGACGUGGACCCUCCUCUCUCCACACUCCCCAGCAUCAGAACACCAGGAUGACCUGAGAGUACUGGAUGAACCUUUGCAAGACCAUGAUUGGAAAGUGUGGGGACCAAGCACCCAGCGGCCAGAGAAACAUCAUGUGGACUGUUUCUGUCUUGGUUAAUCCUCAUCAGUGCUUUGAGCUGCAGGAAGUCAUGAGAACCAAGGCAACACAGGUGCAUCACCAGGGAUUUGCUCUUCUCCUGGUCUGCUCCUGAAGCACAGCACGAAGUUUCAUCCUUUGCUUCUGCAGAUCUACAUGGAUAUGCUGAUAAACUGCCAUUUAGUCCAGAGGCUGGACAGAAAUAAAUCACCAGAUAAAAUACAAUAUUCCUAGUGAAAACCCUUAUGGAAUGCACUCUUGCCCCAAACUCCUCCUGGAAUAGGCACAGUAAUGCUCCCUGAGUCCUGGCAGCCCUUCUAAGUGAGCAUAUGGUCUGCUCAGCUCCUGCAGUACCGGUGCACGGUGAGUAAACACGCUGUAAUGUCAGAGCAAACAGGGGGCUGCUUAACAGCAUGAAAUUCUGUGGCUACUUCAAAACUUCAUCAGUACUUCAGAAAUGGAUUUCCCUUCUCUGCUGGAGCAUGCACUGUUAGCAGGACAGGCAGGAAAACAGUGAGACAGUCCCCUUGGAGGCUGAUGGUGUCUGUAACCAUCUCCCAUAAAGCUGAUGCUGCUGUGGAAGGCUCCUGGUGCGUCAGAAGUUGCAUUUGCUGGUGAUGCUACAUUGCCUUCUUUGUUUUUCUGUGAUGUCCCCUGAUGCCAUGCAACUUGCACAGUAAUUGGAAUAGAAAGAGGGACCCGAAGGUAAAAAUCCCAAUGUUAAUCAGGGCUGCCAAAGGGGAGAACAUUAGCUGCAGUAAUUGUUUUUUUGAGAGAGUCACCAAGGCGGGCUCGUCAGCACUAGCAAACAGAUCCAGUCCUGCCUCUGUGCUCCUCGCACUGGCAGAACAUUGCCCUGAAAUCACUGGAGCAGGGAUCGGGCCAGGAAUGAGCAGCUAAGUUGCAAAGCAAAUUAAUUCCUGCCAAAAAAGUUCAGCUAUGCUCAGAAGUAUGUAAAGUGUCUGAUUUGAGAAGUGUCAAGUAGCAUUUGUGACCAAUUAUCCAAGAUGAAGGGGGCAGAGCUAUGUUUACAUGUACUAAUCUUCAGCCAAAGUUUGAAAACUCCAAUUCACGGACACGCAUCAAAUUUCCUUUCCAGGCUUGGCAUUUGCCUGUACGCACGCAGGCACAUUGCUCGGGGAUGACAGGAAAACAUGAUUAUGACUUGCAAAUAAUACAAAUAGAAAAAAGGAAAAGCGAGAGGAGCUGCCAUGCAGCAGCAGCGUGGUAAUUAAACUUAUACUGUGAUAUGCAGAAAGAAUAGUGGACCACUGCAUGAGUAAAAUAGCUUUAUCAGCUGUGCUGAAAUAUGACGUGUUGCGUGUCUGUAUUGUUGUUUUUCCACAACCUGUGAAGCCCUGGGAAAUGCUCUAUGCAAAAGGAUAAGAAGUAAAAGCUGCCUCUGCCAUCUUCUGUUUAAUUAACAUAGGUAUACCAAUUUAAUGCAAUUAAUCAAGAUAGGAGGGAUUAAACAGUAACUCUCAGUUGAUAAUGACAAUAUUGUCGUUGUUGUGGCAUAAGAAGGGCUACAAAAUGAUAGUGGUGACUGGGAACACUGUGAGUAAGAACAGGCUGGCUGGAGUCUUGGGAGGUUUAUGCAGAUGUAUUGAAAUUUAGGGACAGCUGAUUUUUCAUGUGGCCAAGUGUUUAUCUGCCCCUGCCCUUCCCUUUACCCUCUCAGACCUUCCAGGGUAAUCCCCAGAGUGGCAACAACUUUUAAAGUGAUUCCUCUUUCUUCUAACAGGUUCCUGAUGCCAAAGGUCUGACCUUAAAAUGAGCAGUGCAUAGGGCAAGAAUGGGUACUGCAGAGAGCUUCUGGCCUUCAACCCUUCCAAAUACAUCUAUUUUGGUAACCAGAACAGUGUAUUCAUGAUGGGUGAGGGAACAGAGCCUUCCAGUAAAGGGUUUCUCAGCACAUUAACUCUAUCAGUGCUGGAUGCUGUGUCCCAAUUCAGGUUGCCUGUGUCUAUUUAAGACCAUAAGUGCAGAUUUGCAGAAGUCUGUGGCGUUGUGUAACUUCGUGGCUGUGCUUCAGUGCCUGCUGCCCCUAAAAACUGAACCAAAUCCCAUGGAUUUCCGUGUAGAUCUGGGAAAAACUGCAAUCAUGUGCCGCUCUGACUAGUUCAGACUUGGAUUUCUUAUUGGCAGGAGAGGCACAGCCUGGUUUGCUACAAUGCAACUGUCCUCAUUAAUGUUCUUCAAGCCCUGAUGUCCUGGGACCGCCAUCGUUGGGUCAGAAGAUGGCUGAGUUUUCCAGGCUCAUUCUCUUGUCUUCAGAAUGUUAAAUUGGGUGAUAAUGAGUAGUAACUGUGUCCCUUUUUAUGGUGAAGUUGACACUUGCCUUCUAGUAAACAGACACAGAGAUGACCCUCCUCAUUUCGCACAGGUCACCAAACAGCCCUGGGAUGGUAAGGGUUAUUGGCCAUUUACCAAACUCUGUUUGACUUGGGUUCAUGGGUGAGAGAUGAAAGGCUCUGUAUUGCAUUACCAGUCCCUGGGGCCAGCCAGUCUCCCUAAAGAGGCAUUUCAUUUAGCAAGGCAACUGCUGGCCCAUGGGAAUUGGAGAGCUGGGAAAAAGAGGACGCAGUUUCAAUUGCGAAUGUUUCCUUAGGGCAGAUGUCUUAAAGCCACACAGGAACUCCUGCUUCACUGUCACAAUAGUUGCUCCAGGACACUUAAUGACCAUCAGGCUUUUCCCAUUAAUUAAUCUCCUCUUUUUUUCCCAACAAAACAUCCAUUAAGUUACUUGGGUUGUUUCUGCCUCUGCCCUCCUCUGUUUUUCUCCAUCUUCCUGAGGCAAGACCGAUGCAGCAGUUAUGAACUGGUACCUUUUCCAAGAGCUUCAGAUUUGAAACGGGUGAAACAAGGAGCCUGGUAUCACAGUAAGAGCUACUUGCUGCUUGGGAGGAGAGGAGUUCUCCUGAACUACCCAAACAUUUUCAUUAUUGUAGAGCAGAGAUGCUGACUAAUUUUCCUGGCUAUAGUGGAGUGGUCCCUGGUAUUGGGGUAGUCCAAGUGCUGACCUUUUACAGAUGAUGGAUGAAGUGCUUGAUGCUACAAUGGCUAUGGGAAGGAGAAUACCUGUGAUCAAGGAUUCAACUCAGACCUGUCCUGAAUUUCUUAUGAUCUGAAAAUCCAGUGUUGUUCCAAAUUCAUUAUCACUGGUCAAAAUCCUCUUUCAGUUUCCUCACUUGCUGUUUGUGAUGUGAAUCAUGAGACAUUCAGAAGUCGCAUUUGUUGUUUGAUAGUUUUACAUCAUGGCUGUAAUAGUGCAUCUGCCAAGUCAGCAGCUUUUUUCUGUGUUUGUUUAUUUAUUUACUACUCCAUUUCCAGCAAGUUCUUGUUACCCAGUUCCCGCUGACAAUGAGGGAAGAGGUACAAGUCAGCUCAGAAAAUGAACGACUAGAAGACUGCGUGGUCUCAGUGAUACUGCACCAUCCUGGUUCCUGCUUUCAGGCUGGAGUCACAAGAUGGACUUGGAAGAAGCAACUUUCAGGCAGAGAUGUAACUGCAGAGUUAAUACUAUGCCAGGGUCUUGGGUUAUCUCAUGCAACCUUUCUGUGUUGACUGCUCUGUGCUAGUUUUGCUCAGACAGAAGGUAGAGGUAAUGGAUAAUUUCUUUAUGGAUGAAAGCAACAAAGUUUCCUGAUGUCUAGUAACUACUCAAUACCAGCAACUUACACAUCCCUCUGUGCUACUAUUACUUUGAAGCAAUUUAUUUAGUCACUUGGACUUUAACUACUCAGAUGCAUUCCUUCCUGCUGCAACAGCAGGGAUACAGGAAGGGGUGUUUGAAACCACGCGGUGAUUUCCACCCUGGAUUUCGUGAGGGGUUAUUCUUGUCUCAGAGAUGACGCAUUCAAAUAUCCUUCUACAGAUUCCAGGUGAGUUAGUCACAUUUAGAUGCUUCCAAGUAAUACACAGAAAGGUGCUGAGAAAAUGAUGAGUCCCUGCCUAGUCAGAAAAAAAAGCUCAGCAAAAGUAGAUCAGAGCAAAUUACGUGGACCAGCCCUCAAAUUUUUCUAAGAAAACCUGGGACCAAAGGGCUUUUAUAUUCAAAAAUGUGUGGCCAACAGGGAUGCACAGUAUUUACUUUACUGACUGACCCAUGAGCUGCUCUCUGUCCCCAGAAACAGUUCAGGAAAUGACUGGAAGUAUCUGAAGACAUAAAAAGGAUAAUUAAGUUUCAUUGUGGAAAUAAGAGGGUAAUCUGUCCAGACAAAUCUAGGACCUAGUACUGAAAGCUAUAGUAUCUGAAUAUAAAAAAUGAGUAAUUUUGAAUAAAGAUGUCUAUCAGGACUGUAAAUUCAGAGAGUAAAAAAGUAGCUUUGCUUAAUAGACCAUCUCUCUCUCCAUCUCCCUCUAACUCAUUUUCUUAUUCUCUUUCUUCCUUUUGUGUUAUUGCAAAAAAUGCGUGUAAAAUCUGAUAUUGAGAAUGCUUUAGCUUCAUUUCAAUCUUCUCAAAAUGUUUAGUUCCACUGGGAAGAUUCUCCCUGUGAGAUAACCUCAGCCGUGACCACGAGAGGCAUGUGGGGUGACUUAUUUGCAGAGGAACAACUGUAUUUUGAGGUGUCUCUGAGGCAGCCAGGUCCCCCACUUUUCUGAGGCUCUCAAAGAUGUUUUUGAGCUGGCAUGAGAAAUCACCUGGGACUCAGAGCAGACCACAAGUGCUUAGGACAGUGUUUUCUCUGCACCUUUUUUAGCCGAGCAGAAUCACAGCACUAUAACCAAAUGUGAGUUUUGCCUCAUUCUUAGGUGCUGUGAGUUAUGAAAGCCCACUCCAGACGUAAUGAAUGUACAGAUCAUUUUGACCAGAUCAUAAUCCAUUAGUAAAUAAUGCUCCUUGUAAAGGUGUGGCUGAAAUAAAGAACUUCUUGCUACUACUGCUGUAUUGGUAUCAAGGAUUACCAAGGAGGCCAACAUGAUCCUGCAGCUUUGUGCUACUGAUGUUUAAAUACAAUGCAGAAUUAACUAUGAGGUUUGGUUAGCAAAUUCCUUCCUGGAUUAGGAUAUCCAGGAUUUAUACCACUGGAAACAGAACCCAAAACUAUACAAAGCUUACCUGUCCCUUGGCUUUACCACAAGCCCCAACUUCAACUCACCGACACUCUUGCGUAGCAUUUAAAAAAUUUUCUCAUUUGGUUCCCCUGAUUUUGGUAGUGAUAUUAAUAAGCAAAUCACACAGAAAUUUUCAGAAUGAGUUGAUCCUGACAGAGUAAACCCCUAUAACACCUGUGACUUUUCUUCACUGUCCCUGGAGGAACCCCAAGGAUACCAGACUAAGACCUAAGGCCAAUUGUCAGCACAGUCUAUGGGCCAGGGGAAGGUUAGGUUUAAAGAUGACACUUAAGGGAAAUCUAUGUGACACAUGCUGUGGUGUCCAGAGAUUGGAGACUAUGUAUUGUGCUCUAAAUCUAGAGAGGAAGUCACUAGGAGGAAAAAAAAAAAAAAAGAAAGAAGCACGGGGGAAUAAAAGUACUUUUGAAAGAGAAGAAAUCUACAUUUCAAUGAAAAUCCUUUCAAGGCAUUUCAAAUAAGAGUCUGAGAGAAAUAAUUACAAAGUUUGGAGAGAAAGAAUGUUAGCUUUGAUAUCUUUUUCUUCUAUGAAGCAAUUAAAAUAAGCAAUUUUUCAAAUACUAAGCAGAAAAUUACUAAUGGCUGAACCCAAAAGCUUUCAUUUCCUUUUUGGGGCCUUUAUUCUUCUAAAAAAAGACAAAAAAAAUGGGAAGGUGGUUUUCCAGAUAGAUUAAUGCAUAAAGCAGUCGCUAGUUGGAUGUCAUAAAAACUACAGCAGCAUAGAAUAGCUGAGAUUAAGAGCUAGAUUUAAAUCAUGCAACAGUCCAGUUAAUAUCAAUGUCUAAUUAAGAAAUGCAUAAGAAGUCUGUAAUGUUGAUUUGAUGGAGAAAAACUCUAAUAGGGUUUCUUUUGGAAUUUUCCAUUUCAAUUGCUGUGUAGACUUUUAAUGGAUGUCCUAUCCAGUCUUUGGUAUUAGCAGGAAUCAUGCUCAAAUUAAAACCAAGGCCUAAAAUGGAACACAGGUAGACAAAUUAGCUGGUCUGGGAAGCAGUCUGGGUAGAAUGACAAUGUGAGCUCAAGCCGAAACUUUAGUACAAAUAAAAGAGAACUAACGUCUCAAAUCUGGUGUGGAAACCCUCUCUGCUUAUCGUUUUAAGCAAUUUAAAACCUUGUAAUUUGAAACAAUGCAAUGUUAACCCAUUUCCCCACCUCCCUAAGCCUGCAGAAAUCCAAUUCAUACUUAGACAUCCAGACCACUUAAUUAGUCUUUUUUUAUUUAAAAGACUUCCCAUAGCUAUGCAUAUUAGUAGUAUGUAGAGGUGGGUUCCUCUUUGCAUGCAAUGGGAUUCAGAGCUCACAGGUCCCUGUCAUUACCAAAGAACACCAUUAAUCUCCCACCCCUCUCUGGGUAACUAAAGCUCUUAAACCCUUCCAGCAAAACUAAACCUUCAGCAUCCUCUGUGUCCCAUGGAUCAUCCAGGAUAUUUGGGCUCUGGAUAUGAAAGAGGAACUGGUUGUGUGAUGAAUGGCACUAAUACCCUAAAGUUGCUAAACUAGGAGCAGUGUAACUCUUGGUAUGCACGAAUCCACUUUGCAAAGAGGGGGAAAGCACAGUGCUGGAUUAAAGCAGAAGUGUAUUUGUUAUCACCACUUUGUUGUUGACCCAACAAAUCCAGGGGGAACUGUCUCAAGAAUCCAGGAAGAUGGCAAACUCAAAAUAACCCCUCUGAACCAGGUAGCAAGCACUCUGGGGAGUAAUUGUUAAGUUCAUUAGAACACAUUAAAAUACAAUAGAUUGGCCAUGAUAAAGAGAGCCACGUGAUUCCGCCUCUCUCCGUGUUUCUUUCCAGUACUAAAUCCAUCCAGAGACCUUUCAGAAUUAUAUCAUUAAGUCUUAUCACUUCCACAGAGAGUGGAAAAGACUAGAGGUAAAAAUCAGAGUAAGAGUGAAAUUUUGGCACUCCCGAGCCACUUCUUUUUUUAGGUCAUUGCCUGAAAUGUCACGGUCCAAAUUCAUGCCUGACAUUGCUCCAUUGAUCCGUGAGGCACAAAUAUGUCAUGUUAAGCAGUGAUACUGUGGCCCUAGGGGAUGCCCCAAGGAUUUUUCUCCUUGAAAGACAUGGGAACUAGGAUGUUCCCAGUGAGGCAUCUGCCUUCUGAAUGAUAGAGAAGGUCUAAUGUGAGGACAUUCAGGUCAUCAGAAGAGUCUGAUUUUUUACCCUGCUCCUGACUGUGUGACUGGGGAGGUACCAUAUGUAGGGAUGCUGAUAGAUGAUUGUUCAGGUGGAGCACUGCUCUAGCAGGGUGAUUUGUCUGCAACCUUUGUUAGAUUUAUGCAACACUUAAGGAAAGAACAAAAGUAUGAAGCAGAUUGGCUUUUGCAAAAGAAUGCAACAGAAAAACAAGCAAACCUUAACUUGUCCAACACACUUGAGAGCCACAAAUUCUGUUACAGUUUUUCUAAAUGAGAGGAAUAUUUCUCCUUUCCUCCAUAAAACCAUCCUUUUAGACAUUACUGCAGUCAUGACCUCACUGCAGUUCCUGGAUUCUUUCUGAAAAGAUUGAAAUGAACUAAUACACCAGUGAUCUCAUCACGGCGUAAAGGACAUCUUACACAGGGGAAAAAAUAAUCAGGAGAACUUCAGUGCUUUGUUUGCAGCAAGAAUAGAAAAAGCACUAUAAUAUCACUGUGGGAAACACUAAAGGUACAAUGCCAGUGAGGCAUUUUUCCAUCUUCUUUUAAACCAUUUGGAUUUGUCCUACCUGAUCCUGCCUGUCACACCUGUCAUCCUUUUAGCUGUCUCCACAUCAAUCAUCUUUCCUUUUUUCCUGCCUUAAUCUAGACCUUCCCAUGUCUUUUCUGUGCCCUUCCUACCUGUUUUACUGUACCUAAUAACUCUGAAUUGUAUGUACCACUAGUCUCAACUGCAUCCAAAAUGCAUUUUGCAGGGUACACACAUGCAAUCACGUUACACCAAAGCAUCUACACAUACUUCAUCUGUAGCCUGUGUGGUUCUGGGAAAGAACACCUUUCCUAUGUGUACACACAGUUCUCAGGCCAAGGGGUCACGGUUGAUGACAGAUCUCAUCUGCUUUGGAGCUGUUGAAUCUUCUAACAGAAAUCAGAAAGAUGAGUAGGGUCAGAUGCUUUGCUUUCUUUGGUAGGAAAACCUAUAAAUUAAUAUUCCUGUAACUGAGAACCCUUCCACAUUUUUAAUAUAUCACAUUUUGAGGUUGGAAACUAGAAUAUCCUCAGAACAUGAUGAGUAUAGUCUCAAUAAUAUCAUCUUAUCUUAUCUAGCCCACAGGUGCUCCUCAGCUCUGCCUUGGGAUGACACCAUGAAGCAAUGAGGUGACAAACCGGUUUCCUUUCUCAAGCCAAAUGUCACGUAACUGCCCAGGGGCCCGUUUUGGGGGGGUUGCACCCCCUGACUUUUCAAGGAGAGAUAUGCUGCUGUGACCCACCCCCACCCUGUACACCUUGCUGAAGGAGAUAAAACUGCUCAUUUCCACCUCUGACAUUUCCCAGCCAGGAAGAAAGGCAGGAGGCAUCAGGAUGUAGGGAGAUAGCCGAGCAGCCACCUGACACGCUGACAAAGAAACCUCCAAAAUCCAUCAAGUGGAGAUGAGUUCCCAGGGCUAGAGCAAGCUGAUAUAAAGGAUGAUGGUACCCUUAUACCCACCCAAAAAAUUUACUACUCCUAAACGGGGCAGCAGACAAAUCUGUCCAACCCCAAAUGCUCUGCAGUUGAUAGAUCUGCUUUAGUGAGGAGAGCCCCAGUCAGUGAUGAGUAUCGUAGGAGAAUGCAUGCUGCAGCAUCAGUAAAGUCCAAAAAGCCCAAGGAGCAGUGCAGAACAUCUGUUACCAACAAGAAAAUAGUAUAUGAAAAGCUGUUGUAAUUCCUGGCUCCAGCAGCCUAACUGGAGGCACAGACUUCCCAAGGCAGAGAGGACUUGGAGAACUCGGGAUGUUCAAUGAGAUCUCUUCCUGCUCCCGCAGAUUUACCAGGUCAGCUCAGUCCAGGCCAAAGUUGCCGGGAAAGGUCCUGGGCUCUACUCCAAGUUCAUUGCUCUAUUGAUUGUGAAGAGGUAUUUAUUGUAGGUCAGGAUCUUGAGCCAAGGCAGCUGAAGCCGCACGGACUAAAUCGUCUAUUCCCCACCUACAGAUAAAACAAAUGGCCAGUUUUGGCCUAAUCAUCACUUCUGCCAGAGGAAAGAGAAACUCUUUGAGGUAAGUUCCCUUGGACAUAAUUCUUUCUUUCUAGGUUAAAGAAGGGCUGGAGCUAAUAUAUAUCCUGAGUUGUAAUGCGGAUUUGCACCUUUCCUGUUAAAUAUAGCUGGUUUGUGUCCAAAGCAUCGCCCCUAUCCCUAAUGCUCUCUUAUAUUGUUACAACUUCUACAUUAGUUGCAGGUGUGAAAUGCCAACUGAUCCACACUUCUCGUGCUGUCAGCAGGGGAGUAAUGUAUGUCAAAGGCCUGAUCCUCAGAGGGGAGGUCACCUGGAUCUCCAUUUGCACAUCUGCUUUCCUAAACACAAAACUCUGGAGGUUUGAAAAGCUCCAGUAUUCACAAAAUGGGAUGAGUUCACUGGAGGCCAUACAUAAGAAACUGUUUGUGCUUGUCAUUUAAUAGGCAAGUCACAGAAUUUUCCCUCUGUACAAAAUACUUGCUGUUUUACAACAGGCAAUGUUUCACUAGUCCUCAUAUGUGGAUACUUGUAUGUUUUGUAUUAAUAAGGAAAAGAGCUACACUUCCCUAUGUUACAGGAUAUAAGAGAAGUCAGGAUACCAACAGGAUACCAAGAGGCUAAAAUAGAACCACAUAUAUUAUACAGCUCCAGAAAGAUGCUAAUAUUCAGCAUGUUCCUGCUUGGAGUGUGCAGACAUGAAGAUCAGGAAACCGCCUGAUCAGAGAUCCUGGAGGGACAGUGUUGCUGGAGCUUGUCUUAAAAGGCAUCCUGGUUUGGUUCUGAGGGUUUCAAGAGAAGCUUACAAAUAUUUCUAUUUCUUCCUGCUGUUGGGGGAUUUUUUUCAUACCUUGGAAUAAGACUUCCAAAGGUAAUGUGUUUGCACCAGAUGCCUAGAUAAUGGUUCUUGCUCAGGGGACCUCUAAUACACAGUAGUGCCUUCUACACUUUGUAUAAGAUCAAAGACUAAACCUACAUAUAGGCCUAACUCUUUCUUGAUUUCUGCUAAUCUAGAAUUAUCCCUCAAUAUCUGCAAUAAGGAUUACCACAGAUAAUCUAUACAGAAGAUCUUUUUGUCUUCACAUUUUUGGCCUUUUAAUGUCAUCUGUUCAUAACAUCAUGAUUCUGGUUGCUUUGGACAUAUAGGAGAUUUUAAAUAUAUGCAUGCAAACAUCAUUCACCACUAUGCACUAUGUUUUUUCUCUCUCAGCUGACUACUUCUAAAUAUUUUGGAUAGUAGAACCAAAAUUUAUUUUACUAUCCAAAAUGAGAAAAUAGGGAAUUGGCCAUCAGCUUUAUGUUUUGUUACGUGGAAUUUAGACUUAACAUCCCCAUAGUGACUUAGUUGGAGUUGAAAACAAGCUCAAAGUAUAUUGGGGAAAGCCAUGAGCUGAACACAGAGGUCAGAGCAUGUUCCACGAACACCUCAAAUUCCAGCCCCGAGGAAUUGCUCGAAUAUGUCGCUUGAAAAGGACAUCUCCUCAAGGAAGCUGUUAAAAAUAAUUUUCACAAGAAUCAGGAGAGGUUCACUUUUAAUAUCAAGGAAGGGAAGCACUUGUUUUUAAAGAAAAGUUUGAUUCUGAAAAAGUCUCAUUAUGUUGGUAAGUUAAAGGAGCUGUUCUGUAGCAGACAGAGUGGCUUGUUUGGCUCUUCAUGGAAGUGGCUGUUGAAUUCUCGGGUGGCCUUUCCCCUUGAAAUUUACACCAGAAAUUCAGGGCAAAAAUUUCAUGUUUGAUCAGAACGACUUCAUUACCUUCGUGACUAAUAGGAAUUGCAUAUGUUUCCCUGGGCUGCAGAUUGCAAACCUAAUAGACCCAUGAAAAGAAAGGGAGAAAGAAAUACUGAUUUUCUUGGCAUGAAAUACAGAAAAAUUGGGCCUGAAAAACGUUUGAGUAUAAUAUGCCGAAAGUUUAAAGAAGCAUUUAUAAAGAAACGUUUUCCAAGAGCAUGCCUGUUAGUUUUAUCUCCAUUUUUUGCCAUGUAUAAUUAUGAGAAACGCAGACAACUCAUAAGAUUUUUAGUUUCUGUUGAGAAUUGUCUUUUCCAAGAUAAUUCUGUACACUAUUACUUUAGCCCACUGGGUAUCAUGUAGGUAAGGUAUAAGAUUAUGCACAUGAAUAUUUCUGUCUACCACUUAUGCGUGCUGAGACAAUAUCAACUUAUAUUUUCUCCUGUCAUUGGUCCUUAUUCCAUAGAGGAUAUUCUUAAUUACCAGCAAGACAAUUUGGUAAUAUCAUGUAAAGUGUAACAGCAUAAUUUCUGUGAUGAUUUACACCUGCUCAGGAUCUGAACACUGAAUUUUAAAACAUAUUUUAAGUUCAGAAGAUCGAUGACAUUUUUUUCUAUGAGACACUGUUUCUACUUUUAAUAGAAAUACUUUCAUUUAUUUAAUUUAUUAGCAUGGUUCUUCUAAGUGAAAUGGAGCUUUUGUACACGAAGACACCAUUUUUACACAUUUGCAUUGCCCUGAAAAAUUUAGAGCACACUUCUGUACUGGAUUAAAUCAACUCAAGCCUAAAUGCCUAAACACUAUUUUUGACAACGGUGCAUGAGGGACAUACCUGUACAGGGAUUCUAAAGAACAAAAACCCUAAAAAUAUCUCAGUUGCAAAGAAACUGUAUUCCUUUUUCCACUUUGUAAUUAUGGUUAUAUAUAUUCUUUUAACCCUUGCAGGCUUAUUUCUAAAUCUGUUAGAAAUGAUUGAAAUUAUUCCAUUAACGCCAACAGACUCUGCUUCCUGCUGGAUUAAAGGAGACAUUUGUGUAUCAGAUUUGCUGGUGAUGUCCCACUAAUGAAAUGGGGAAUUUUAUAAACAGGUCAGGGAGGGUAAGUGCCCAAUAAAAAGAUGUCAGAUAGAGAUCCACAAAUUACAGUCUAUUUGUAACAGAAAUAAAACAAGGAAUGCUUACUAAA